ensembl:lncRNA
CUCAAAUGCAAAAAGCAGACUGAAACAAAGGGGUCAGCACUGUUUGCUCUCUAAACUGCUGUCUUUGCGACUAUGUCGGGCAUGCUAAGAAUUCCACAGAUCAUUGUGUGUGCCGAUAUGGCUCAAAGGUAUGCAGUCACGUUAACAGAAACCUGACCUACCUGACUGAUCGAAACUACACCCACGCGUUAUUAAGCUCACGGUGCUUGUGUGGGAAACAAUGAAACGGUCUUGGAAGCUAACUCCUUCCCAGAUAGGGGAUGGAGAUGGACAGCUUUGAAUGAAAUGAGUGGAAAACUGGAAGAAUCCAUGCAAGAAAACAAAGAUAUGCUCAGGCACCUCUUCACCGGCACCGUCUGUUCCACUCACCUUGAGACGUCCACCCCCCGCCUCCCCCCCAACACCCUACAAAAUGUGGCAUCUAGAAAUGGACUAUGGCUGAGAGAGGGAGAGGAAAAAAAAAAAAGCAAUUAGUCAUCGAUUUCAAAGAGAGUAUAUAAUAAAAUGUUUCCCCCCUAAGGUAAACCUGUGGAA